GAUGAAGAACGUAGCGAAAUGCGAUACGUAAUGUGAAUUGCAGAUCUCUCAGUGAACCAUCGAAUUUUUGAACGCACAUAGCGCCCGCCGGUCAUUCCGGCGGGCAUGCCUGUCCGAGCGUCGAUGACGCCGCUCGAGCCCCCGUGCUCGGUGUUGGGGCGCUAGGUCUCCCAGAGGACUAGGCCCCCAAGUAGCAGUGCGCGGUCCGGCUGCGGGCCCCGGGUACAGUAACUUCACUGUUGAGAUGCCCUGGGAGCCGCUGGCUGGGUCAGCAGUAAAACCCCCGACAUAGGCCUUCCUGUCCGCCCCCGGCGGGGAGGGAGACCGCCUAAUGUUGACCUCGGAUCAGGUAGGACUACCCGCUGAACUUAAGCAUAUCAAUAAGCGGAGGA
rnacentral:misc_RNA from 1 species